rnacentral:lncRNA from 1 species
AAAGGCUGAUAUGCAUUUUACUAAAGCUCAAGAGAAAAAUGCUGAUAUAUAAAUGUAUAAAGCCCUAAGGCAAUAAAGGGAAGGGAAGGGAAGGGAAGGGAAGGGAAGGGAAGGGAAGGGAAGGGAAGGGAAGGGAAGGGAAAAAAAAUAGUGUCCCAAUGCUUUUGUUGCACUUGUUAUAGAGCUAGAGUACAGGAUCUUGGAGACAAGCAAAUAUAUAAUUCUAAUUAACACUUAAUUGUUUUUUAUACCCAAAAUUUUGUUAAGUUUUUCUCCUGCCAGACCCAAUAUGCGAGGGAUGUCUGUGCAUCGCUAUAUCAACACAUAGGAACACCAACACCGAAAGCCUAAUGAAAGAACCUCAGCUCUAACCUGCUCCUUCCCACUCCUCAAGCUUGCAGGGAACCCAGAAACAAAGAGAGCUUGUGGCUUGUGCCACAUUUACAGAGUCCAAAGGUACUCUGAUGCAGAAGCAGCAAGUUGCGGAAUCAAACUCUAUAACCACAUAGUAGUUAUAAAACAGGUAUGUUUGUUCAGUGCUGCAUGCACACAGGGUGCAGAGAGGGUAGACUCUUUCUUGCCUGCGCACCAAGAACAGAUAAACAUCUUUAUUUAUAGAAGGAAUACAUGCAUAUUCAUAGUAUUUCUAAGACAAGGAGUGGUUACUAAAAUUACUUCUAGAAAUUCAGUACAAUAUUCCAUGCCCAUUCUACCCCUUAACUCCACUCCUAACUAAUGCUUCUAUGCCUGCCUGCUGCCUCCUGGUGGCCAUCCUGGUGGUCUUGGGGAUGAAGGCUGGAUGUCAUCCUCGCAGUAUUCUGAUCCCAGUGUAGUUUGAGGAAGUAUUCCAGCUUCAACCGCUUCAGUUUCUAGGAUGGUUUCUAGGAUGUGGUUCCUUGGACCAGUCAGCAGGCUCCUUGGCUUACAGUUGAGAUACCCCAUAUCCUUCCCACUGCUUAUGCUCAACUACUUUUACAAUUUUAAAAAAUAUACUAAAUUAGCCCUUUAUUCAGCAGAACCCAAAAUCUCAGGUUCUGGGUGUCUCAGUUCCUGCCCUGUGCUGAGGAGGUUGUAGGAAUGGAGAGGGGCUAAAAGCCACCACUGAGCAAGGAUUCAUAAUUUCAUGAUUAUUUCUAAACUUGUUUUUUUUCAAGUUGUUCCCUUUUCAGGAAGCUUUCAGAACUUCAAUUUCUCAUUCCCAUCUGAAAGAAUGACUUCUUCCUCUCUUUUGUCAAAUCACAGAUGCUAUGUGGAUUAAAAGUUUUAAUAUGUGACCCACACUACCCCAGGC